rnacentral:ncRNA from 1 species
CAGAGUAAAGCAUCAAGCGUGCAGUUUACUGCAUAGUGUCUGCCGAACGGGGAGUUGUCGGCAGAACGAAAUCGUUGCGGUUUGAUGCUUGCAUCCCGCUGU